AAAACAUUCCCUUAUGUUUCCAAAAACAUUUCCCUUCCUUAAUCUUCCUUAACCAGAGCGGGUUGUAUAAGCACAAACCCUAAUUCCUUUUCUCUCUUCCGCCUCCACGAUCUCUCUUCUCCCUCGUCAUCCCCGUCUCUCCCGUUCGCAAAGGUAACGCCGCCGUCGGUGUUUGCGGGUACCGAUAACGUUGUUCUCGGCGUCGAGAAGAAAUCCACCGCCAAACUCCAAGACUCUAGAUCCUUACAAUUCAUACUCUACAAAUCCAAAUCCUAAAGACUCAAGCGUUUUGCAGUACAGAUCCAUCCAAAUUCUACUUUACAUGGAAUCCAGAAAUGUGACAUCCUUUUGAGUUCAUAAUCGGUUCAGCUCAGUUUGUGUUUGGUUCAUGUGUAGAAAAUUUAUCUUUAAAUAUGCAGAAAAUACAACUUUUAGUCUUGUCUGCAAGAUGUUCGAUAGAAUGCUUCAGCUAAUUUUGUCGCUUCUUUUUGCUUCAAUUAUUUCACUUAAUGAUGUUGAAUUGUUGUUGUUAUUGUUGAUAAUUGUUGUUGUUGCAGGUUGUGGUUUAUGAAUCGUUGUCGAUUUGUUGAUGUUACCACCGUAAAGCAACUUGCGUGCCAAGUGUUCGGUAAAUUGCCGCAACCAAAUUACUUUCCUCCUUUAGCUUCUGUUUUGAUGUGAAUUAUAUGUUGGUUGCUUAUCUUGCAUGUGAUGUCGGUUCAAUGGUGGCGCUUGAGUUCUUUUAUUGGGCAAUUGGGUAUCCGAAGUUUCGAUAUUUUAUUAGAUGUAUGUGUUGGGUAAAAUUGUAUGUUUGUUUAUCAGUUAAUGUUUUUAAGUAGUUUAUUUGUAAUUGACUUGUGUUAUAUGUCAAUUAUGUUAAUUUGGUUUUGAAAUUGAGAACUAUAGUUUUCAAAAUAUAACUUAUGAGUAUAAGUUUGCUGUUUCGCUUUAUAUGAAAACUACUAUUGCAAUAAGAAUUAAAUGUAACUGUGCUUUAUGAUGCUAUAUACCUUCUCAAUUUCCUUCAGGAUGAUGAAUUGAAAUGCACUUUCUAAAUUUUGUCUUCAAACAACAAUUUUUAAAAUGUAAAUUUACAAUGGUUCUCUUGUGCGUGUGUGUUUUUCCAGUGAGGUGUGCUUUGAAGAUUUCCUGUGGUAAGUACUUCUAGUGAACUUGUCCCUGGUAUUGACUUUUGCAAUCAUGGAAAGAUGUUGCUUGAAGCUCUAACAUUUCACUUCACUAUGUGCUUUUAAAAUAAUUUCCUUGUUAAUCUUUUUCAUUGAUUGGGAUCUGAUUUUUACAUGACCAAUCAGAUUUGAAGUCAAUAGCAACAUGGGAAGUUGAUGGAAUUGGCUUAGCAACAGGAGUUCUUGUCUCCAUUUGUAUGAGAUCUGUGCUGCAAAUCAUUGGAAGCCUCCUGUGUUUGAAUGUUGUAAAGAGGAAGGACCAUGUCAUUGCAGAAUGACUUUGAAGCUCGCCACACCUACAUGAUACUUGCUAACUAAAAGCCUUGUGUGAAGUGCAAGUGACAUUUCGCAGCAAUUAUACGUAUUUCUCAAUAAUUUUUGUCGCUGCGAAAAUUUAAUUUUCUUGUAGUGUGUUGUAAAAAAAUAAUUAUUUGUAAUGAUUUUGAUUGAUCACUCAUUUGAGCAGCAACCCU